CCAGUCUCAAGUCAUCAUAGUAUCAGAACAAUUCCAGUUCAAAGGCUUCCUGAGCAAAGCUGCUUGCUCCAGAAGAAGACUGGCCAAAUAUGGACCCAGUCCAGCUUGAAUUGGGAUGCCAAUGGAUUUAGGCAACAUGUCCUGAUGGAAUUGGAGCUCAGAACCCUCUUAUCCUCUUCCUCCUAUCACUUCUCUCCCACUGGAAGUAUGGAUCAAAUUUAUUUUGGGGGUGUAGAAGUUCUCUGUGAGCAGAUAUGUCAAGCUGAGUCCCUAAGAAGCAAACUAUCAUUGAUGGAUACCUGCAUGAGAAAGAAAUCAGUGGAAUUUGUAAAUUGACCUCAAGAGUUCUCGUGCAUUCUGAAUUCAGAUUUUGUUCCACAGAAUUUUUUUUCUUUCUGGAUAAUUUAAGAAACUACACCAAUAACUUUUCAA